rnacentral:rRNA from 1 species
UGCAGUCGAGCGGAUGACGGGAGCUUGCUCCUUGAUUCAGCGGCGGACGGGUGAGUAAUGCCUAGGAAUCUGCCUGGUAGUGGGGGACAACGUUUCGAAAGGAACGCUAAUACCGCAUACGUCCUACGGGAGAAAGCAGGGGACCUUCGGGCCUUGCGCUAUCAGAUGAGCCUAGGUCGGAUUAGCUAGUUGGUGAGGUAAUGGCUCACCAAGGCGACGAUCCGUAACUGGUCUGAGAGGAUGAUCAGUCACACUGGAACUGAGACACGGUCCAGACUCCUACGGGAGGCAGCAGUGGGGAAUAUUGGACAAUGGGCGAAAGCCUGAUCCAGCCAUGCCGCGUGUGUGAAGAAGGUCUUCGGAUUGUAAAGCACUUUAAGUUGGGAGGAAGGGCAGUAAGUUAAUACCUUGCUGUUUUGACGUUACCGACAGAAUAAGCACCGGCUAACUCUGUGCCAGCAGCCGCGGUAAUACAGAGGGUGCAAGCGUUAAUCGGAAUUACUGGGCGUAAAGCGCGCGUAGGUGGUUUGUUAAGUUGGAUGUGAAAGCCCCGGGCUCAACCUGGGAACUGCAUCCAAAACUGGCAAGCUAGAGUACGGUAGAGGGUGGUGGAAUUUCCUGUGUAGCGGUGAAAUGCGUAGAUAUAGGAAGGAACACCAGUGGCGAAGGCGACCACCUGGACUGAUACUGACACUGAGGUGCGAAAGCGUGGGGAGCAAACAGGAUUAGAUAC